AUUGAACGCUGGCGGCAGGCCUAACACAUGCAAGUCGAGCGGAUGAAGGGAGCUUGCGCCUGGAUUCAGCGGCGGACGGGUGAGUAAUGCCUAGGAAUAUGCCUGGUAGUGGGGGAUAACGUCCGGAAACGGGCGCUAAUACCGCAUACGUCCUGAGGGAGAAAGUGGGGGAUCUUCGGACCUCUCGCUAUCAGAUGAGCCUAGGUCGGAUUAGCUAGUUGGUGGGGUAAAGGCCUACCAAGGCGACGAUCCGUAACUGGUCUGAGAGGAUGAUCAGUCACACUGGAACUGAGACACGGUCCAGACUCCUACGGGAGGCAGCAGUGGGGAAUAUUGGACAAUGGGCGAAAGCCUGAUCCAGCCAUGCCGCGUGUGUGAAGAAGGUCUUCGGAUUGUAAAGCACUUUAAGUUGGGAGGAAGGGCAGUAAGUUAAUACCUUGCUGUUUUGACGUUACCAACAGAAUAAGCACCGGCUAACUUCGUG
rnacentral:rRNA from 1 species